AUCAAACAGAAAAGAUUGUCAUGGAGAACAGAAAUAAAAAACUAGAGGUAUUAACAGAAACUGUUGUGUAUGAGACCAUAUUUGAUGGAGAAGCUAUUGAUCCAGUCUCUGGGAAUAUGUAUGAGUAUAACAGCAGAACAGGUGCAAGAAAGUGGAAGAAGACCCCACCCCUGGCACCAGGAGUUGUCCUUGGUAAACAUGUACUCCCUCCCAGAGUCCCACCUUUCUGAGGAGUCUACAUCCUUACAAAUUCCCAUGAAGGAAUAGCAUUUUCUGGUAUUUUUGAAUGAUUGCUUUUGUGUGUGUCUAUGUUACUCUUGUGGCAAUUUUUUUCUUGGCUACCUAAAUGAAAUUGUAUAUGUGAGGGCUAGCUGCUUUGUUUAUAGCUUUCUGUAAUCUUCCAGUUCAGGGUGUGUGGGUGAGGGCAGCAGGACUGAAAUUCAGUCUCUAAAUAUGCUUUGCUAAAAACUGGAGACUAAAUUGAUAUAUGUUCACCGUCUGACUUUGUGCAGUGGAAGGUGUGUUUAUUAUGACUGGAGACUUUGUUUUGCUCACUCCUAGAGCCCCAGCACAUGCUCGGCACAGAGUGGGGACUCCAUACAUAUUUGAUGAAUAAAUGAAUUUUAAUAU